rnacentral:rRNA from 1 species
UACGAAGGGGGGCUAGCGUUGCUCGGAAUCACUGGGCGUAAAGCGCACGUAGGCGGCUUACUAAGUCAGGGGUGAAAUCCCGGGGCUCAACCUCGGAACUGCCUUUGAUACUGCAAGUCUCGAGUCCGGUAGAGGUGGGUGGAAUUCCUAGUGUAGAGGUGAAAUUCGUAGAUAUUAGGAAGAACACCGGUGGCGAAGGCGGCCCACUGGAUCGGUACUGACGCUGAGGUGCGAAAGCGUGGGGAGCAAACAGG